rnacentral:lncRNA from 1 species
CAAUGGUCAAUUUCUGUACAUAUUACCUUCUUCUCCUUGCUCUCCCUCAAAAAACUCUGUCCACCAAAGGAAUGCCUAACGCAUUCUACUCAAAGUAACCGUUAAGGCUCACUCCUUCGCCGCACUACCUCCUUCGUUUCUGUUCGAACUUAGAUGCAUAAGAUCUAGUAGGCUAUUUACCAGUUAUUGAGCUGGCCGAAGCCGUUCGAUCGCGGGCAUCGAACUCACACGCCACACCAUCAUGGC